rnacentral:rRNA from 1 species
UACGUAGGGUGCAAGCGUUGUCCGGAAUUAUUGGGCGUAAAGAGCUCGUAGGCGGCUUGUUGCGUCGGCUGUGAAACCCCGGGGCUCAACCCCGGGUCUGCAGUCGAUACGGGCAGGCUAGAGUCCGGCAGGGGAGACUGGAAUUCCUGGUGUAGCGGUGAAAUGCGCAGAUAUCAGGAGGAACACCGGUGGCGAAGGCGGGUCUCUGGGCCGGAACUGACGCUAAGGAGCGAAAGCGUGGGGAGCGAACAGG